AUUGAACGCUGGCGGCGUGCCUAACACAUGCAAGUCGAGCGGUAACAGGUGUAGCAAUACAUGCUGACGAGCGGCGAACGGGUGAGUAAUGCUUCGGAAUCUACCCAAUGGUGGGGAAUAACCAGCCGAAAGGUUGGCUAAUACCGCAUACGUCCUACGGGAGAAAGCAGGGGAUCGUAAGACCUUGCGCCAAUGGAUGAGCCGAAGUCGGAUUAGCUAGUUGGAGGGUAACGGCCUACCAAGGCGACGAUCCGUAGCUGGUCUGAGAGGACGACCAGCCACACUGGGACUGAGACACGGCCCAGACUCCUACGGGAGGCAGCAGUGGGGAAUAUUGGACAAUGGGGGAAACCCUGAUCCAGCGACGCCGCGUGUGUGAAGAAGGCCUGCGGGGUUGUAAAGCACUUUUUAGUGGGGAUGAAAAGUUCAGGGCUAAUACCCCUGGAUCUUGACCUAACCCACAAGAAAAGCACCGGCUAACUCUGUGCCAG
rnacentral:rRNA from 1 species